AGUAAGGUGAAACCGCGAAUGGCUCAUUAAAUCAGUCAUGGUUCCUUAGAACAUACCAUCCUUCUUGGAUAACUGUGGUAAUUCUAGAGCUAAUACAUGCAACUGAGCUCCGACCCUUGUGGAACGAGCGCUUUUAUUAGACCAAAGACCAAUCGGAGCUUCGGCCCCGUCAGUCUGUGGUGACUCUGGAUAACUUUUAGCGGAUCGCACGGUCAUCGUGCCGGCGACUCCUCUUUCAAAUGUCUGCCUUAUCAACUUUCGAUGGUAGGUUAAUUGCCUACCAUGGUUGUAACGGGUGACGGGGAAUCAGGGUUCGAUUCCGGAGAGGGAGCCUGAGAAACGGCUACCACAUCCAAGGAAGGCAGCAGGCACGCAAAUUACCCACUCCCAGUACGGGGAGGUAGUGACGAAAAAUAACAAUGCGGGACUCUUACGAGGCCCCGUAAUUGGAAUGAGUCCACUUUAAAUCCUUUAACGAGGACCUAUUGGAGGGCAAGUCUGGUGCCAGCAGCCGCGGUAAUUCCAGCUCCAAUAGCGUAUACUAAAGUUGUUGCGGUUAAAAAGCUCGUAGUUGGAUGUCAGUCGCGGGCGGGCGGUCCACCGUUUUGGUGGUUUACUGCUCGUCCCGCGACCUACUCGCCGGCCUCCCCCGCUAUGCUCUUCACCGGGUGUGGCGGGUGGCCGGAAAGUUUACUUUGAAAAAAUUAGAGUGCUCUAAGCAGGUGCUUGCCGCCUGAAUAACACAGCAUGGAAUAAUGGAAUAGGACCUCGGUUCUAUUUUGUUGGUUUUCGGAAUUCCGAGGUAAUGAUUAAUAGGGACAGACGGGGGCA
rnacentral:rRNA from 1 species